UACGGAAGGCAGCAGUGGGGAAUAUUGCACAAUGGGCGAAAGCCUGAUGCAGCUAUGCCGCGUGUAUGAAGAAGGCCUUAGGGUUGUAAAGUACUUUCAUCGGGGAGGAAAAAACAAAACUAAUAAUUUUAUUUCUUGACGUUACCCGAAAAAGAAGCACCGGCUAACUCCGUGCCAGCAGCCGCGGUAAUACGGAGGGUGCUAGCGUUAAUCAGAAUUACUGGGCGUAAAGAGCACGUAGGUGGUUUUUUUAAGUCAGAUGUGAAAUCCCUGGGCUUAACCUAGGAACUGCAUUUUGAAACUGAAAUACUAGAGUAUCGUAGAGGGAGGUAGAAUUCUAGGUGUAGCGGUGAAAUGCGUAGAUAAUCUGGAGGAAUACCUGUGGCGAAAGCGGCCUCCUAAACGAAUACUGACACUGAGGGUGCGAAAAGCGUGGGGGAGCAAAACAGGGAUUAGGAUACC
rnacentral:rRNA from 1 species